ACGUUGAGCCCCACGCACAAUACCUGAAGGUGAAGUUUUGUUCGUUCGGCUCGCGUUA
ensembl:miRNA gmo-mir-375 gmo-mir-375